GUUAAAAUGUAUAAAAGUUCUAUUGAUAUUACUUUUUUCUAUAUGUAUACUUAACUAUUUAAAGAUAUAACAGUUCAUAGUUUGCCAAUUUUGAAUAGUACACCUAUAUGUUAUUACAGAAAAAAUAUGCCUGUAAUAACUAAAGGGUGUUAUCACAGCUUCUCUAUAUCACUUCAAAGCAUUUGCUCAGACAUACAUCAUGCUUAAUUACAAUGUAGUUUAAUUUAUUGUAAGAAAUAAUGACCAG
rnacentral:lncRNA from 1 species